GGGGAUGACAGGCUUUCGACAGGGCAGGUGUAAGAUGGAGUUGCACUCCGAGUUUCAGCAUGGAUGGACUCGUUAAAGAAGUCUAUGCAAACAAUAGAUGCAGACGAUUAUUCGUAUGCAAUGGCUGCCUGAUUAGCACAAGUUAAUUAAUCAGCCAUCGUCCGAUGGGGGAGGCGCUUACUCUGAAGCCACCGGAUGGCAUAACCCGCGCUUGAGCCUCGGUUCGCGCAAGUAAGCCCCAACUGCUUUUGCCUGAAAAGGCAUGCGGGUGAUACAAAGAGGGAUAGUGAACCGAACUUUACAGGUGUAGCACCGGUUCAUGAAACACUGAACACCUGGGAUGAGUGUGGUAGCUUUAUUGAGCAAUGUUCUGGACGCGGGUUCGACUCCCGCCAUCUCCACAA
rfam:Chlorobium ferrooxidans DSM 13031 ctg42, whole genome shotgun sequence.